GAUGAAGAACGUAGUGAAAUGCGAUACGUAAUGUGAAUUGCAGAAUUCAGUGAGUCAUCGAAUCUUUGAACGCACAUUGCGCCCUGUGGUAUUCCGCAGGGCAUGCCUGUUCGAGCGUCAUUUCAACCCUCAAGCUCUGCUUGGUGUUGGGCCCUGCCCGCUGCGGCCGGCCCUAAAGACAGUGGCGGUGCCGCCUGGCCCUGAGCGUAGUACAUCUCUCGCUCCAGUGCCCGGUGGUAGCCUGCCAGAACCCCAACUCUCGUGGUUGACCUCGGAUCAGGUAGGGAUACCCGCUGAACUUAAGCAUAUCAAUAAGCGGAGGA
rnacentral:misc_RNA from 1 species